AGUAGGGAUACCCGCUGAACUUAAGCAUAUCAUA
rnacentral:rRNA from 1 species